UCUCUGCAAAUAUUUCUCUCUCUCUCUUUAAUUAAUUCCUACUACCUAAAAGUUGAAAGAAGACUGUUUUUUUUCUUCUUCUAAAACUUCAUGUGCCUUCUUCUUCUUCACAGAUAUAAAGAGAAAAAAAGGAGGAGGAUAUAGGGUAUGCAAAGGCAACAAUCUGCUAUUUAUGUUAACUUAAAUAUAGGGAGUUAUAAUAGCAAAUAGAACAGAGAAUGCUCACAUAAAGGAGAGACAUAUGGUUGAGAUAAUGGUGGGAUGGAAGCCACCUUGUGUGGGGUGGAUGAAACUGAACACGGACGGGGCAUCACAUGGGAACCCGGGGCCGGCGGCUGCAGGGGGAGCACUGCGAAACGGAGAAGGCGAGUGGUGUGGCGGUUUUGCGAUUAAUAUAGGUAGCUGUACGGCACCAUUAGCGGAGUUAUGGGGUGUGUACUAUGGUUUAGUGGUUGCUUGGGAGAAAGGGGUGAGAAGGCUGGAGGUAGAGGUCAACUCUAUGAUGGUGAUGGAGUUUCUUACGAUAGGGAUUGGGGACACUCAUCCGCUGUCUUUCCUGGUACGCUUGUGCCAUGGCUUCUUGACAAGGGACUGGCUAGUCCGAUUUGUUCAUGUAUAUAGGGAAGCAAACCGCUUAGCUGAUGGUUUGGCUAACCUUGCAUUUACUCUUCCGUUUGGUUUUCAUAGUUUUGUUGUGGCCCCGAUUGAGGUCGCUGUUUUAGUUCAUGAGGAUGUUGCUGGACCGUUGUGGCCACGACAAACUCGUCUUGUAAGCUGAAGUUUGGGUUUCUUUUUUAAAUAAAUUGGGAGUCACUCUCCCAUAUUCCUACCAAAAAAAAAAAAACCAUUAAUUUAUAAAACAAAUCACAUGCUCUUUUAUUCUCAUUAUCUUUAAUAUUUAAUAUUUAGUAAUUAUUCAAUUAAAGGGGAUGUAUUAAAUAUAAUAUUUGAGGUGAUUUGACUUUUAUCCAAGUUUUAGUUGAUUUCAAUAAGUUGCAGAUAUUUAUGUGAUUUUUGUUAAACUAUUCUAAAAUAUAACUUAAAACCAUGUGAUUUGAAUUUUAUUUUAUUUUUAACUAAGAAACUCUACCUAAACAUUCUAAAAUCACUGAAGUCACAACUUAAAAUAUUUUCAAUAAAAGUAAAUUUUAGAAUAUUCUACGAAAUGAUAAAUUCAAUAAUAGUGGAUUUUAAAUAAGUUUUAAAAAUUUAUGUUUGAAUAAUAGUGAAUUUGUCAUUUUAAUACAAAUCACGUAAAACUCUUGUUUAAUUAUUUUACCAACAUUUUUUGUUUAAUCAUUAACUUUAGUUAGGUAAUCGGUUUAAUGAAAUUAUUGUACUAGUAUAUUUUAGUAGAUGACUUUCACUAAUAGACGUACGUGUCACAUUCCGAUUUAAGUCUUGUAAUUUACAAUAUAUUUAUUUGUCAUAUAUACAGAUUUAAUCCGAAAUACACGAAAGUUUAUUCGUAACUUCUAACCUUUGGACUAAAUAAACCAAACAUCAUAUUCGCAUACCAUUUAAAAAUUAAACAAAAUAAUAAUCAAAACUUCUGUCAUUUUCAGUAUAAGAAUAAUAUUUUAUCCGUAUAAUUAAGAUAAGAAAAGAAUUGGAUGUUCUUAUUUUCUGGAAAUACCGGUAAAAUAUCUUAAUAAUUAUAAUUUAAGGGGAAUCAUUACAUCAUCAUUUUUAUAAUUUAUAAACCUUUUUUGGUCAAACUUCAAACUAUGUUUGUAUAUAUCUGUUAGCGUAGGAACAAACCAUAUUCAUAACCUAUAUAAUUGAAUCUUUAAUCAACUAAAACUCCAUAUAUAGAAUGGUUCUGCACAACAGAAAGAAUUUGGUCUUUGUAUUUUCCUGUAAACAUCACGAAAAUAUAACCGGUCUCGCAAUUAUAAAAUGGGUUAAAACCUAGUUGCAAUCAUUUUAUUUCGAAAUGUUUUGAUAGAAAUCCAUUAAUUCGACCCUAAUUACUCUUUGCAUUGACUAUUUGACCAGAAAACAAAACUAUUUGUAUGGAACAUAUUUUUAUCACAAUAAAGAACAAAAAUCAUAGAAAGAAAAUAACGUGAAUGUUGUUCAGAAAAAAAAAGAAAAUAACGUGAAUAAUAAUGGUCCCACGUUCAGCGGUAAACCGGUGGAUGAUCGACAGGUAGAGGAAGAAAAAGUCUAUUUUGGUGAACGAGAGAGUGUGACGUGUACGGUUCGAGAUGUGUUAGACGAGAGAAAAAAAGAUUCAUUGCACUGACAAAGACAACCCAUUAAAUUUCGUAAAUAUCUUGUCUUUAAACUCUCUCUCUUGAUGUCAAAAAAAAAAAAAAAAAAAAGCUCUCUCUCUUUUUUUUUCUUGAAUCUUAUAUGUCAAAUAAAUAAUAUACUAUUGGUUGUCAACAGAACGUUACUAGUAUACAACAUAUUUUUAUCAAGUUCCAUAUGUUUUGUGCCACUUGUGCUGUAUUUCUUUUGGACAAUGUGUAAAUGAAAUGGAAAUGUGAAAGUUGGUUCUGGAGUAUGGGCAGUGAACAAAAUACCCAAGACACCUCAAAUUCAAUGAACCAAUAUAAAAAAGUUGUACAACAUAGAUAUUUUGAAAUCAAUAUGAUAUAUAAGAGGCUCUUAUAUAUCUUAGAGAAAUUGAGAAGAUGGCCAAGAAAACAUGUAUUGUAGUGGAUAGAUGUUUUAAUAUAUGUUUGCUUAUUUUUUAUGUUAAUACUUUUAGCUUUCCUUGCGGGGAAUGCGGUUAAGGGAAGAAGCAAGGAGGUUCAACGUAAUCAAAACCUAACCAGUAACCAGAAUCAAAAGAAUUGUACUAUAUACCAGGUUACUUAUAUGUUUUGUGAUAUUCUGAAAAUAAUGAAUAAAGUGGUCUAUCUUUACAUCCCAUUCAUAUAAUUGAUGCCUCCCAUUAUUGGUGAAACAGACUAUUUGAGUAUUAUGAUAUGCAACAUACUCUUGUUUCCAUUAACAAAAGAAAAGGCUUUAUUUUUUUACAACAAAAACAUUCACAGACUACAAAAGAAAAGGCUUAUUUUAUCAACUCUUGAGUUUUCUGACAAAAAAAAAGCUUUCAACUCUUGAGUAUUUUUUUCCAACAAACUCAUGACAACAUCAUAAGUAAAUGGACCACAUCCUGAGUAGUGUUUCUAUGAUUAUCAAUUCAUCCCAAUCAUUACAGUUUAUUCUGAGAAUCAUUACGUGUAAUGGAUCAAGUACUAACUACGAAUCAGUAUGUAUCAAUGCUGCUAGUGUUAACCAUUCCUGCAUGCGGUUGAUCACCAUAUAGAAAUUUCGGGAGCUUAGAGAGAUAAGCAUCAAUAUGUGGCCAGCUUAUAUAUUAUUUCCCUAUGACCUAUGUUACUAGUCCAUCAUAUCUACAUGUCUUCUUCAGUUCAAUGACAACAAAAAAAGCUUUUGUAAAUAUCAAUUACGCUAGGCUUCCCUUUAGAUGGGCAUUAUUAUUGGAGGCCCAAUAAAAUUCCUGAAUGAAAUCGAUAUCGAUAUUGGAAAGUGGAAAUUAUAUUAGUCAAUAAGAGUCUUCUUCGUCUGUGAGAGACUUGCCAAUUGCCAUCUCGAAGUUUCACCGUUCUCUGACUCUUAAGACAAAAUGGUGAUGAUUCUGGACUCCACUGAUUUUUAUAAUGAGCUUCAGAGUCAGUGUUUUCCUGUUUUGGUGUUAUAACUUUCUUAUUAGUUUUCGACUUGAUGAUUGAAUAUCUGCUGCAGAAAUUUUGUUUUUCAAAUAAGGAACGUUACAUCAUUAGUCAUUUAUAUCUGAAAAAUUUACAUUUACGCAUACUUUUUCUCAAGUCCAUAUAACUUACACCAGUACCGUGCGAAGAGUUUUAAGGGCCUAAGGCAAGUUUUAAAAAUAAAUUUAUUUACAACCGUAAUGAAAAUAAUUUUCUAAUAUAAUCUAUUAUUUUCACCAAAUUCACAAGUCUAAUACAAUAAAAGAAUAAUUUUAUAACAUAAAUAUGUUAUAUUAUGUCAUAUAGAAAAAAAAUACAUGAUAACAAAAAAUAAAUUAAUUAAUUUUCGUAGAAAUGUUUUUUUUUAAUAAGUCUAAACCACUAUACUAGAAAUUAUUUUAAAUUUUAGGGCCCUAAAAACAGUCAUAUUAAUC